UACGUAGGGUGCGAGCGUUGUCCGGAAUUAUUGGGCGUAAAGAGCUCGUAGGCGGUGUGUCACGUCGGCCGUGAAAAACCUGCAGCUUAACUGUGGGCGUGCGGUCGAUACGGGCAUCACUGGAGUUCGGCAGGGGAGACUGGAAUUCCUGGUGUAGCGGUGAAAUGCGCAGAUAUCAGGAGGAACACCGGUGGCGAAGGCGGGUCUCUGGGCCGAUACUGACGCUGAGGAGCGAAAGCGUGGGGAGCAAACAGG
rnacentral:rRNA from 1 species